rnacentral:rRNA from 1 species
GUAACGACUCUCGGCAACGGAUAUCUCGGCUCUCGCAUCGAUGAAGAACGUAGCGAAAUGCGAUACUUGGUGUGAAUUGCAGAAUCCCGUGAACCAUCGAGUCUUUGAACGCAAGUUGCGCCCGAAGCCACCAGGCUGAGGGCACGUCUGCCUGGGCGUCACGC